rnacentral:misc_RNA from 1 species
AACGCACCUUGCGCUCCUUGGUAUUCCGAGGAGCAUGCCUGUUUGAGUGUCAUGGAAUUCUCAACUUAUAAAUCCUUGUGAUCUAUAAGCUUGGACUUGGAGGCUUGCUGGCCCUUGCGGUCGGCUCCUCUUGAAUGCAUUAGCUCGAUUCCGUACGGAUCGGCUCUCAGUGUGAUAAUUGUCUACGCUGUGACCGUGAAGUGUUUUGGCGAGCUUCUAAUCGUCCAUUAGGACAACUUUUUAACAUCUGACCUCAAAUCAGGUAGGACUACCCGCUGAACUUAA